rnacentral:lncRNA from 1 species
UAGAUGAUAAAUAGAUUCCGACAAAUUAUCUUUCUUUUCAAGGAAACCUUAGUCUCACUAUUCUCCUAAGUUUCCUAGUUGCUUCAGAUUAAAGCCACAGAACCUGUCUCUCUUCCCUUCCAAAUAGAACAAGGAUUUUCAAUCUUCACCCACUUCUUAUCUUUCUCUCUUUCUAUCAUAGAAAGAAAAUAUAGUAGAAAUAGUUAGAAAAAUGUGCAACUCAGAUGGUGAGUGCAGGCCCUUGGGUUUUCUAUUGGGUCUUCCCUUUGCUUUUCUCUGUCUCCUCAUCUCUAUAGUUGGCCUUGUUGUCUGGAUUGUUGGGUAAGAGAUAUUCACUCUCUAUCUUUACCUUACUAUACUUGGUUUUUUUCAUUUUGAUAAAAGUAAUUGUAUUAUCUUCACUAUGUAAUUACCAUGUAAUUUGAAGUUUAUGUUCUGGGUGGUGUGAUUUCUUGUCCUCUGAAAUGGGUUUGGAUCUGAUGGAAUUGAAAUAAUCUUUGCUCGAUGGUAUUUUUGUGAAUACUGUAAAUUUUGGAACUUUAUUUAGUUUUUAUGUCAAAUUCAUUUUUGAGAGAUUAGUGUAGCUAAGUAUUAUUUAAUUCUAUGAAGCACUAAUCUGUCAAAAACAUAAAGAUUGUGAAUAUUAGUUUAAUUAAAUUUGUGUGAAUACUGUAUAAAUGUGUCAAAAAUUUAUACAGUAUUCACUAAUCUGUCAAAAAUGAAUUUGACAUUAAUACUAAGUAAAGUUCCAACAUUUUAUACAGUAUUCACUAAUCUGUCAAAUUCAUAUUUAAUAUAUUUUAGUGAAUACUGUAUAAAUGUUGUUGUUGUUCCAAAAACAUUUGACAGUUUAUUUUUAAUUUUAGUGAAUAAUGUAUAAAUGUUGGCUACCACCGUAGUUAAAGAGAUUAUAUGUUUGUUUGCAAGUUGAAUUUUGAAUGAGAGUGAAUGAAAAGGAAAGGUUUAGAGCCAUAUCAUAAAUAUAUAUUAUGUCUUCCAAGCAUUUAUUUUCCCUCCAAAAUUCAACUCACAAAUGGACCAUAAAGUUUUGUUUUUGUUGUUGUUGUUAAUAAUUGAAAAUUUAAAACAUUUUUUUAUAUAAUAUCUGGUAUAUGCAGAUUGUUGCUGACAUGCAUAUGCCCCUGCUGCUUGUGCUUGACGGUUAUAGUUGAGCUUGCUUUGGAGUUAAUCAAGGCUCCAUUGCAUGUUAUGGAGUGGUUCACCUCUCAGAUCCCAUGUUAAGCUUUUUUUUUCACAAGAAAAAGAUUACACUUGUCUUAGUUGGUGCUGUUGCUUCCUUUUUAGUUACUUUUAUCUUGUUAAUAAUAUUAUGGCUUUGAGAGUAAGAAUAUGAAGUUAAUGACAUAUUAUUGAUCUGUGUGCUUUUUUGUUUUCUCUGUAAAGAAUAAUGUUAGUAGGGUCAAUGAAUUCUAGUUGAAUAAAAAACAAAUUGAAGAGUUCACAGGACAAUUUUGUUUCUUGUGCAUUUUAUUUUACUAAUGAACUGAGGAAGGUGAUUGUUAAGACUUAUCUUGAAAACUGAUAUCCUAAUUCAGCACUGAAAGCAACAUGUUUGCUAAUUGAUGAAAAACUGUAAGUUUCUGUUUGCAGAGGAAUAGAAAUUGUAGUUGGGACUUGUAGGGUCCAUUUGGUACACAAGAGUAAGAGUAAAUGUUGGAGUUAGGACAUGAUCCUCAUCAUGUGAUAAAGAAGAAGGAAGAUGAGGAAGAUAAAGAAGGAAGGAGUUAUGCAAUUAAGAAGAAUGAAGAAAAUGAUUAGGCUGAAGAAAAUGAUUAGGCUCAAAUCUUCUUCUAUUUUUAGAUUGGGCCUUAUUUUCCCCUUGGCCCAACUUGCUAUUUUUAUCUUCAGUUGGUUAAGUUAGUUGGGAUAAACUAACUUUAGUUUCUUUAAAUAGCUUCUUCUUCCUUGUAAAGUUAACAGUUUUGAAUAAAACAAAAUAAAGUUCAAGAAGUUUCACAAUCAAUUCUUGCAAUGGGGUACCAUGGAAUUCAACAGUAAAACAAGAAAGAAUAAGGGGCAGAAGGUCAUAGGUGAAGUAAAUAGAUCACAUGUCCUUAAUGAUAUUUUAUUCUCUAUACCAGAUAAAUUAUAAUAGCACACUCUUAGGAGUAGGUGUACCCGG